rnacentral:misc_RNA from 1 species
CUGUCGGCACGCGGCUCUCUCUCACAAGUCGUCACGGGAGGGAGCGGGUAGGUGGCGAGUGUUAUUCCUCCCAUACUACACCCACAUGUGUGUCUAGUGCGUCAUUCUGUGAAUAUUCUACCUGUGGAGUUCAGUCGGACCGUUGUUACCUUCACACCUGAAUAUUCAGUUGAACUGUCGUGUGUCGUCAAUCGUCGUUGUUGUCGGAGGAGGAUCAGAUGAAAGUUUGCAGUACUGAAAGUUUGGAGUAAACACAACUCGUCCCAUCCCUGCGAUGACACGCAUUCGCCAGACGGAACCACCGACGCCCACCCCAGGGUGCACGGGUGGAGAAGUGAGCAUGAGUAACUUGUGAGCAGUGACGGAGGGACACAGGCCAUGGAUGACAACUACCUGUACUAGCGGCCUACCUACCUAACCUUUCAUCCACCAUGGAUAUACUCCAGCUCCUGUCCGCCCUGUUGGUGGUGGUCAUCAGCAGGCGACCAGUUGUGGGUCAGCACACCUGUGAUCAGUGCGACUGUCAACUCAAUUCCGAAGAAGAGCAUGCAGUCUUCAAUGUGAAAACCCACUGCAACGUAGGCUCCAUCUACUGGAACACUGCCUAUGGGGCUAUCCGCCUGGAGGUGCAGCCAGUGCUGAGGAACAGCUACAAGAUGUGCUUCGUGCUGGACAGCCAGAACAUUGUGACCAAAGUUUCACAGGAGUUGCCGCACUUGGUCACCGAGGGCGAUGGUGGCAGCAGCAGCAGCUGGUCGCAGGACAGGUUGACUCUCCAGCCCCUGGUGACCGUGCAGGGCAAGAGCCGCGAGCACUGUGUGUGGGGCAGGACUAAACAGCCGCUGAUGUUGUACUUUGAGGUGGAGAGAACUAAUAAUUUCACUGGGAUUCCGGUUGUGUCGCUGCUGUACGAUGUGCAGGAGGUCGCUGAUGAUGUUCUUCUCGAUCCUUUGGAGGAGUGCAGACCGUGCUCCCAAGAUGAAAUGCUUGAGGCCUACUGUAGCAGUGACUUUGUGGUCAUGGGCAGCAUGCAUCAGGUGCGACACGAGGACGAGGUGACGCACAUCGACGUGGCGGUGGCGCAGCUCAUCUACCAGACCAGUGACGUCUUCCGCCGCGUGCACCGGAGUGACGACUUCCUGCUGGGCACACUGCGCGCGCCUCGCAAGUGCGGCAUACGACAGGGCAAAGGUGACUUCCUGUUCACUGGCCGGAUGCGACUGGGCAUGCCCACCCUGCGCUGCGCUCCCUUCUUGGAGCGUUGGCAGAAGAUCGCGGCGCUGGCCGAGUGUCACUACAACUGAGGACAGAGGGCCGACAGGUACUGCUGUUGUGCACAACAAGACUCGGACCGUCGUGAGUGUGUUUGCUGGCUGAGCUUGUGGACCACUUGCCCAGGUCGUGUCGGUCUGUGGACGACUUGCCCAGGUCGUGUCGGUCUAACCGAAAAACAUUUAAGCUUCUGGACAGUGAAGUUGCUCGCGGCAAUGUUCACUCAUUCAAAAUGAUUGGUCGCCUAGGCGCGCUGGCUGAUCAUGUGACCGUGGUGAUACAUUCAGAGAGAUGGCGCUACUGUGAUAUCAAGAAAGGAGUGACAUGUCACACAGCAUUACAAGACUGACAUCUGAAACAUAUUCUAGAACCUUUGGGAUCACUGAGAAGGGAAUCAAACCUUUAGGUGUGCGAACUAUGAGUGGAGAGGACGUUGUGGCGAGUGACCUUUGUCCUCACUGACUCACCUUCUUCCUUUUGUGUAAACACUUGUCCGUUACCGUUUUUGUGUGUCACGUGAACAAACUAUUUCUUUGUGUUUGGCCGGCGACACCGGGCAUUUGUGGCUUUGAGACUAAGAAUGUUCAAGUUCUUCAGUGAUUGCAACAAUGAAAUAACAGUCAAAUAUUGCCGUUAAGACAGUUGACAGGAAUUACAGACAUUAUAUCCAAAAGGCAGCUUCCAAACAGGAUCUAACUGGUGUUAAUGCGCCAACGUGAGUUCAAAGGUUGAGCGCACAAAAUGACAGUUAAAAUGAAGACUUGUUUUAUGUACGAUAUUAAUGUAACACAUAUUAAAUCUUUAUAUCAUCUUACUUCAAUAUGUAUGUCUAUAUCGAUUAUAUCAAAGGUUUGAAACCUGAAGUCCAUUGACCCCCAGAACAUAAGGUUGUCGGUUCGAGUUCUCCUCGGGGAAAAGAGCUUAAAAAAAACAUUUCGUCGCCUGUCCAGCAGAAACUAAGGCAUAAUGGGUGGUAACAAUAGGGAAUCGUGUCCACAACCAUACGAUGUGUUCUAGAAACUGUGAAACGCUUACAGUUACUGCCCUCUUGACCUUUAGGAAUGGAACACUGUAUGUAGCUUUUGUGAAGAAGUUUAUAAAAUUAUAAGAUAGCUCUUCUGGAUAUUGCCUUUCAAAGACAGACAAGAGUAAUGAAUACAUUCAACUACAUAGAGCGACAGACAAGUCAGUGAGCUUGAAUUAUCUCAUCUCCAUAGUAAUCGUUGUGAUCAACAUGUAGCAAUCUGUCACUUUUGUGUCAUUAUUGGAAAUCCUUAGUUUUUAAACAGGACAUGGAGUCGGUGUAAAGAAGGUUCAGAACCUCUGGUGCACGAGGUCAGUCACCAGCGUAGUUUAAGGAACUCACGUGCUGUGUUGGUUUUACUUUUCAAUAUGGCGAAUGAUUGUUGUGACUAACAAUGUGUCAGCAACAAUUCAACUGCCAUUCUGUUUUAUUCUACCACUAAGGGACGGCUGAGCCGCCAGUAGAUGCCCUACGAGAACCUGCCAUUUUUAUCCUUGUGUUUAACACAGGGUUUGAACAGGGUUGGACUUUUAUUCUCCUCCUCUUUAAAGAAAGAAUUGUUGAAACAAGUUUCACAUUUUGUGUGACAUGAACUGCACUCGCGCAUUUUGCACCAAGACACUGUGACAUUUCACUAAGAGCAAUAUGGACACGAUGACACCCUUCACCACUGCUGGUCACGUGUUUGACCCUCUGUGUGUGUGUGUCAGUCUUUCUGUGAUAAACAUGGCGCCGCAGCCUGUCCUCACCUGAUGGCGGGCCAGGUGUAGACGACUGUAGAUAUCUGUAGGUGUUUGUAGGAUGAAGAUGAGGGCAGCCAGACGUCAGUGUGGUAGACCGGAACGGGUGUAGUGACGUCACGCAGUUUGUCUUAAAGUGUGACGUCACUACUUCACCGAGAUGGGCUCUGAUGACACGGUAAGAUGGCGGCGGGCAUUAAAUGUUGCUGUUAGUGUCGAGUGCAAGAUGGGUGUGGCUAUGACGUCAGAUGUGGAUGGAGAACGGAUAACGCGUGAAAAAGAAGAAAAGGUAGAAUUGAAGAUUUUGCUCAGUGUGUCUGUCUCUCCCUCACUUUGUAUUUGUGUGUGUGUGUGUGUGAGAUUACAUUUGUAAAUCGUGAAGAGAACAUGGUGCAUAGGCAAGUGUGGAGUGGGAUGCAUGCAAGAUAAAAUCAAUGUGAGUGCAACAAGUGCUGAAGAAAAGUUUCGCUUUCUCUCGGCGGUCACAAAGAUGGCAUGUACAGAUGUCAGGUGUGAUGGUUUAUCUAUGACAUGUACAACACGGUUCUGAUGUGAUGGUGAGAUGUUGGCUAGUUUACACGAUGACACAUCACUACUGAUUUUCUCAUUUUAUUUUCUUCUUCCUUUUUUCCCCUCUUUCACUUCAUUGUUACUGUCCUCAUCACCAUUAAUGACAGUCACUGAUCAACAACAUUUACUUACUUCUAUUUUGAAAUAUUUUUACAUUCCUGUGUCCAUGAUUUGUUGAUGAAUUGUUUUCUCUCACACAUGCACAAGGAGUGCCGGAGACUGCCAGUCUACAGACCAUGUACUUCUGUACUUAUCCGCAUCCCACCUGUCAUCGUCAGAUCCCUCCUACUGUCCCCAUCAUCUUUCCUCCGCCUGUCUCCCAGUGUUUUUGUUUUCCUAUUCAUUCUCUCCAUCUUUUUGUCUCAGUGCAUCGCCUUAGUGUGUGUGUUCGUCUCUGAAGACUAGGAGUGGUGUCAACAAAAUUCUUUUGACACUGUAUAGCAUGAACUUUAUUUUUAUAUCAUGAAAUGUUGAAAAAAAUGUACUACAGAAAUAAUCAUGUUUUAAUGAAAAACCUGA